UUGGCUAUUCGGGGACUUAAAUAAAAACAAGUCUGAAAAGCACUGUACUUUAGCCCAUAACCUCAAAGCUCACCUGACCAUUAGCAGAAGGAGGAGGGACACAAUGCGUCUUAGUAAACACGUGGGUACUGUCACUUCCCUCUUCUCCACCCUCCAGCCCCGCCUCAGCUCAAACACAGGGCGCCCCUCCUUCCUUUCUGGGUGGAAGCUGUGGGAGCCGCCAGCAGCCAUCUUUCAGGCCCAUCCACUGCAAGAGAAAAUGAGGCCAAGGUACACAGAGCACUUGAGCCCCGUCUGCAGCCAGCGUCAUCCUUGGAUUCCCCUAGACAUGGUGGUGACUUAAAAAGUAACGAACGAAGGUGCUUCCCUGUGAACCGUCCCAGGCUGAAGCCUCAUGAAGACUUCUCCACAGGAGACAGCGGGUGCUACUCUGUGAUCCCGAGAGACCCAGGGCGGAACCAUCCCUUGGAGACCAGCGGAGACGCCGACCUCCCCACUGGAUUCUGCUAAGAUGAACCGCUGGAGUGGCCCAUGCGGCAGCCGCCCACCACGGCCCGCCACCUCUGUGCUGGCUCAGACACUGCUCCCCGGAUGCUGUGUGCAGCUGUAGGCGGAAUCAGGACGUGAACUCAGACCACAUGCUGAUGAGGUCUCUCAGAUGCGAGAAAAGACCCCAGAGAGCUCCCUCCCACCUUCCACCACGUGAGGACACAGCGAAAAGACAGCCAGCUGUCCUAUGAACCGGGAAGUGGGUCCUCACCAGACACUGGACGUGCCAGCACCUUGAUCUCGGACUUCCCAGGCUCUAGAACGUGAGAAAUCAAAGUUUGUUACGUAAACCUCUCUGUCUACGGUUCUGUUACAGGAGCCCGGACAGAUGAAGACUAACAUCGCAGUUCACUGGCAUUUCCUGCUUCUGUGGGCUAGGCCCCCCCAGCCUGCCACCCCAAAAUUACAAUCACUCUGCCCCCAGCCAAAUCUGUGAUUUCCCAUUAAGUUUUCCAGGCCCACAGGGCUCACACCACUCCCUAGCCAUAGCAUUUUCUGUGUGUGCAUUUACUGAGUAACUGAGCAUGCACUAAAUUGUGACAUAAAAUAUGUUGUUUGACAAGACUUUUGAAAUGUUUCUACCACGUCUCUCUCACUAGCAGGGGUUAUAUUUUCUCACAUUCUUUUUUUUAAUCUCCGAAAGCACCUAACACAGAUGUAG
rnacentral:lncRNA from 1 species